rnacentral:rRNA from 1 species
UACGUAGGGGGCAAGCGUUGUCCGGAUUUAUUGGGCGUAAAGAGCGUGUAGGCGGCCAGGUAGGUCCGUUGUGAAAACUGGGAGGCUUAACCUCCAGCUGUCGAUGGAAACCAAUCUGGCUAGAGUCCGGAAGAGGAGAGUGGAAUUCCUGGUGUAGCGGUGAAAUGCGCAGAUAUCAGGAAGAACACCCGUGGCGAAGGCGGCUCUCUGGGACGGUACUGACGCUGAGACGCGAAAGCGUGGGGAGCGAACAGG